rnacentral:rRNA from 1 species
GACGGGGCCCGCACAAGCGGUGGAGCAUGUGGUUUAAUUCGACGCAACGCGAAGAACCUUACCAGGGCUUGACAUCCCCUGACCGCGUAUGAAAGUACGUUUUCACCUCGGGUGACAGGGAGACAGGUGGUGCAUGGUUGUCGUCAGCUCGUGUCGUGAGAUGUUGGGUUAAGUCCCGCAACGAGCGCAACCCCUACGUUUAGUUGCUAACGCGUGAAGGCGAGCACUCUAGACGAACUGCCGUUGACAAACGGAGGAAGUGGGGAUGACGUCAAAUCAUCAUGCCCCUUAUGUUCUGGGCUACACACGUGCUACAAUGGCCGGUACAGACGGACGCAAAGCCGCGAGGUGGAGCAAAUCCUAAAAAGCCGGUCUCAGUUCGGAUUGCAGGCUGCAAUUCGCCUGCAUGAAGUCGGAAUCGCUAGUAAUCGCAGGUCAGCAUACUGCGGUGAAUACGUUCCCGGGCCUU